AGAAGAUCCAGAUAAUAAAGCAUGAAUCCAAGAAAGCAACAGGUAGAACCAGAAAAAUCCUUGCUUUUCCAUAGAAAUCAUUGAUGUUACUUAGAUGUUCCACAAGCUCAAGUGCCUCUGAUGCAAUAAAAUACACAAAACCAAGAAAGAGGACUUUUGAAGUGAUAGCACCGAGGGUUGGCCUCACCACUCCAUAGCCCAUUGAAACAACCAGAAG
rnacentral:misc_RNA from 1 species